rnacentral:tRNA from 1 species
UGGGGGAUCGUCUAGUGGUAGGACAGCGGACUCUGACUCCGCUAGCCCAGGUUCGAAUCCUGGUCCCCCAG